UAUUUUCAAAACGGAUGUAUCUCUAGGAACAGCCAUCAUGUAAGACAUUUCUAACUGAAAGAUGUAAUACGUGAUUGGUGUUCCCAGAGUUUACCGUUUCCUUCUUUUAUUUUUCCAAA
rnacentral:pre_miRNA from 18 species